AAUCCGGAGCUCUCACAAGUGUUUGGAACACGCACCAGGGAAUGAAGGGAAUAUGAUCCCAGAGAGGACGGCUACUGGAACACCCCACAUGACUGGCCUGAACGACAAUCCAGUGGCAGCUUACAACCUAUGAAGGGACCUCACUCUCUUUGGGAAAGAAAAAACAAAAAACAAAGCUAACAACAACAACAACAAAAAAGAAAACCCAUGUGACUAAUAAAUGAGCAAUGAAAAGCUGACUCUUACCCCCAUACAGAUCAUUUAUCAAGAGAUCACAUUUGGGGACACAUUAUCAGAAGGUCCUCGUCGUGAACUCUGGGCACUGUGCCUUGUAGAAAUACUUUGAACAUCUAAGGCCUAGAGUGGGAGAUUCACAAGGACAAACUAGCUGAAAAUUGCUUUAAAGAAAUAGAAUCGAGGAAUAAACUUCAGCUAAAUCUGUCUCAAAUGAGAAAAGGAUCAACAGUGGGAGGGAGGGGAAAAGGGAUGAAAGAGGUAUUAAGAUGUGCUAUGAACCUGUACUGAAUCUACACAAAUAAUGUGACAUAAAUGUACUACAAAUAUGUACUAAAAAAAACCUUUCAUGGCUCUUCCCAUUACACUAGCGAAUUGUUCAUAGCUCAAGGUUUAACGGUGAAAUUCUAUGUCAUUGGAUCCACAAUAUAAUAUGAAGUUUGAUAUUUAA